CCUGAGAAACGGCUACCACAUCCAAGGAAGGCAGCAGGCGCGCAAAUUACCCACUCCCGGCACGGGGAGGUAGUGACGAAAAAUAACGAUACGGGACUCAUCCGAGGCCCCGUAAUCGGAAUGAGUACACUUUAAAUCCUUUAACGAGGAUCUAUUAGAGGGCCAGUCUGGUGCCAGCAGCCGCGGUAAUUCCAGCUCUAAUAGCGUAUAUUAAAGUUGUUGCGGUUAAAAAGCUCGUAGUUGAAUCUGUGUCCCACACUGUCGGUUCACCGCUCGCGGUGUUCAACUGGCAUGUCUGUGGGACGUCCUACCGGUGGGCUUAGCCCGUCAAAAGGCGGCCCAACUCAAAAUCCUACCACGGUGCUCUUCACCGAGUGUCGAGGUGGGCCGGUACGUUUACUUUGAACAAAUUAGAGUGCUUAAAGCAGGCUCAUUUGCCUGAAUAUUGUGUGCAUGGAAUAAUGGAAUAGGACCUCGGUUCUAUUUUGUUGGUUUUCGGAAUUCCGAGGUAAUGAUUAAUAGGGACAACUGGGGGCAUUCGUAUUGCGACGUUAGAGGUGAAAUUCUUGGAUCGUCGCAAGACGGACAGAAGCGAAAGCAUUUGCCAAAUGUGUUUUCAUCAAUCAAGAACGAAAGUUAGAGGUUCGAAGGCGAUCAGAUACCGCCCUAGUUCUAACCAUAAACGAUGCCAGCUAGCGAUCCGCCGAAGUUCCUCCGAUGACUCGGCGGGCAGCUUCCGGGAAACCAAAGCUUUUGGGUUCCGGGGGAAGUAUGGUUGCAAAGCUGAAACUUAAAGGAAUUGACGGAAGGGCACCACCAGGAGUGGAGCCUGCGGCUUAAUUUGACUCAACACGGGAAACCUCACCAGGCCCGGACACCGGAAGGAUUGACAGAUUGAGAGCUCUUUCUUGAUUCGGUGGGUGGUGGUGCAUGGCCGUUCUUAGUUGGUGGAGCGAUUUGUCUGGUUAAUUCUGAUAACGAACGAGACUCUAGCCUGCUAAAUAGGCGUACUUUCCGGUAUCUCGAAGGCCCGCCGGCUCGGCUUCGGUCGCUGUCGCGUGUGGUUUUUACUACCGGCGUACACAUAUAUCUUCUUAGAGGGACAGGUGGCAUUUAGUCGCACGAAAUUGAGCAAUAACAGGUCUGUGAUGC
rnacentral:rRNA from 1 species